GACGAACGCUGGCGGCGUGCUUAACACAUGCAAGUCGAACGCUGAAGCCCUUCGGGGUGGAUGAGUGGCGAACGGGUGAGUAACACGUGGGUAAUCUGCCCUGCACUCUGGGAUAAGCCUUGGAAACGAGGUCUAAUACCGGAUAGGACACAUCGCCGCAUGGUGUGUGUGUGGAAAGUUCCGGCGGUGCAGGUUGAGCCCGCGGCCUAUCAGCUUGUUGGUGGGGUGAUGGCCUACCAAGGCGACGACGGGUAGCCGGCCUGCGAGGGUGACAGGCGACACUGGGACUGAGACACGGCCCGGACUCCUACGGGAGGCAGCAGUGGGGAAUCUUGCGCAAUGGGCGAAAGCCUGACGCAGCAACGCCGCGUGGGGGAUGACGGCCUUCGGGUUGUAAACCUCUUUCGACCGGGACGAAGGAUUCGUUUGACGGUACCGGUAGAAGAAGCACCGGCUAACUACGUGCCAGCCGCCGCCGUAA
rnacentral:rRNA from 1 species